UACGUAGGGUGCGAGCGUUGUUCGGAUUUACUGGGCGUAAAGGGCGCGUAGGCGGCAAAUUAAGUCAGCUGUGAAAUCUCCGAGCUUAACUCGGAACUGUCAGCUGAUACUGAUGUGCUAGAGUGCGGAAGGGGCAAUCGGAAUUCUUGGUGUAGCGGUGAAAUGCGUAGAUAUCAAGAGGAACACCUGAGGUGAAGACGGGUUGCUGGGCCGACACUGACGCUGAGUGCGCGAAAGCCAGGGGAGCAAACGGG
rnacentral:rRNA from 1 species